GGGGGACCAUCCUCCAAGGCUAAAUACUCCUGACUGACCGAUAGUGAACCAGUACCGUGAGGGAAAGGCGAAAAGAACCCCGGCGAGGGGAGUGAAAAAGAACCUGAAACCGUGUACGUACAAGCAGUGGGAGCACGCUUAGGCGUGUGACUGCGUACCUUUUGUAUAAUGGGUCAGCGACUUAUAUUCUGUAGCAAGGUUAACCGAAUAGGGGAGCCGAAGGGAAACCGAGUCUUAACUGGGCGUUAAGUUGCAGGGUAUAGACCCGAAACCCGGUGAUCUAGCCAUGGGCAGGUUGAAGGUUGGGUAACACUAACUGGAGGACCGAACCGACUAAUGUUGAAAAAUUAGCGGAUGACUUGUGGCUGGGGGUGAAAGGCCAAUCAAACCGGGAGAUAGCUGGUUCUCCCCGAAAGCUAUUUAGGUAGCGCCUCGUGAAUUCAUCUCCGGGGGUAGAGCACUGUUUCGGCAAGGGGGUCAUCCCGACUUACCAACCCGAUGCAAACUGCGAAUACCGGAGAAUGUUAUCACGGGAGA
rnacentral:rRNA from 1 species